GAUUCAAGUUAAGUUAGGGAAGGCGCUGGCAGAGUGCGGGAGUGACUUCAUCAGUUCAUCAAAACUUAUAAGUUUGGGGCUGUCAGAAUGUGAGAUUGAGGAUGAUCCAAUGGGGAUACUGGGGAAGCUUCCUUGCUUGAUAUAUUUGUAUUUAUGGAGGAAAUCAUUUGUGGGGGAGGAGAUGACGUGUCCAUCAAACAGUUUUCCUCGCCUCAAGUUCCUUGCGCUAUCUCAAUUACCAAAGUUGAGGGAGUGGAGAGUGGAGGCAGGAACCAUGCCCCUUCUCUCUCAUUUACAAAUAGAUGAGUGUUCUAAUCUGGAGAUGCUUCCAGAUGGAUUGAAUCUCAUUUCCACUCUUCAGAAACUAGAAAUUAUUGAUAUGCCGGAAUUGGGAAAAAGGGUAUCGACAUCAGGAGAGGAUUUCCACAAAAUCAGCCAUGUCCCUUCAAUUAUCAUAAAAAACUAUUGAUGAUGACUAACUAACCUAGUCUCCACCCGGGUAAUGCUUGCACCAAUCUCAUUCUCAAUUCCCAAUUAUGUUGCUUCAAUUUUAGUUUUUCUCUAAAAGAUCCGAAGUAUUGGAAAAAAUCCAGACGAGUUAAUGCCUGAGAGGUUCUUGAAUAGCAAUAUUCAUGAUAUCACGAGGCAUGACUUUGUGUUCAUUAUUUGUUUAGUUUGAAGCCUUUGUGUUCAUCAAAAUUAUCAAAUAAAUUGAUAUUACGGUACUUCUUUCAAGGUAUUUUAAUGUCGUUUUACAUUAAUGAUGAAUUCAGGACUUACAAUAAUGUAUUCGUGUGAAUUAAGAUACUCUUUUGUCUUUGACUUUUAUUAUGACAUCUCUUAUUAUAUUUAUGGAUAACUGAUAGUAGUAUAUGAUAAUAUUAUGGGCCUGUUUGAUGCGGUCUAUUAACAUGGAUAAAUUACAUUUCUAAUGUUUGAUGCGAUUGUUUAUUAAUAAGUGAAGCCCGCAUUUAUUUCGGGGCCCGCCGUUAUUUUACUGUAGCAGCAACAUUAUUGAUCCAGCAAUGAAGGCGAGAUUUUUAAUACUGAUAGCUACAGUUGCUGGGAUUAUAAUUGAAGAAGUCGAAAUUGUCCCUCUUCACCAAAUUGGCGCUUCUUUUCUUCUUCCCAUUUUUUGUCUUAUGUUUUCAAAGGAUAUAGAUGUAAUUUCUAGGUUGGAGGGUAAGGUAGUCAUUUCACAAUAUAAGCUACACCAUAAUGUAUUUUAAUGGCUGCUAUCAAACAAUAAAUUCCUAUUAACUAGAGGUUAUUCAGGAGCUAUCAAACAAUGAUAAAUUUAAUUAAUCUAAUGAACGUGUAUUAGGUAUCUAUAAGUAAUUAAUCUCUAUAUUACCAUCAAACAGGUCCUAUGAGUUUAAGAUUUAGAGUUUUGAUAAGGAAUCUUUUUUCUACUAGAGAUUUCUUUACAUUGUUUUAAUUAAUGAGGUUUGCCCCCGAUUCUUUAAUUUAUUUGUAAUUUCUACACGAGAUUUUAAACUUUAUUUCUUUUCUGGAAUUGUCACUUUUGUUGCUUUGCUGUUUAGAAUUCUCGCCGAUCCCUUGGAAGAUGAUUUUGCUUGCUACUGUCUACGCAGUAAGGGCACACCGGUUGUUUGUCAGAUAUUUUUGGUGUAAAACGACGAACCACAUAUGUUCAAUUAUAUAAAAGUUAACUAUCCAAAAAAACACCAUUUCCUGGCCAAGAUUCAAUCCUCGUAUUACGAUAUCUCACUAUUAUCUUCUUUGAGGAACCGAACACCAUCUAAGUCUGCUCAUAAAUAAUUCUUAUUGUAUCUGCCAUCUCUAAUUAAGCUAAAAAAACCAAAAAGCAAAAACAUACCUCAGCAUAGUUAUCUAGAGUUCGUUACUGUUGAUAUGUGCUCAAUAUUUGGCUUAGAAAAUGUCAUGAAUAAUAUUAAUUUGUUUACAUGUCAUAGCUAGCUCUAGACAUUUCUUAAAACGCGCGUAAUGUCAUAACUUAACAAAAGGUGACAGGAAACUACCAUCUUAUGAUGUUUAGUUCAUAUCAUAGUCUAAAUUAUUUGUAUUAAUAACAUUAAUCAACUCUUAUUGGCUUAAAGCGCCUUAAUUACUCACAACAAUUCAUUAUGCCAGCUAAUGAUGAAUCACCUUAUCAUUUUUUAUACCAUAUUCCCUUUGAAUGACGAGAGAGAAUUAUUGGGUGAAGAAAAAGAAGACGAGGUAGAAACAAACAGACGCUUAUGACAAGGUUGAAUUAUUGAAUGAAGAAUUUAGUAUAAUACUUAACAAACAAACAGAAUUAGUAUAACUGAAUGAAUCACCAGGUGUGCCCUAUUAUUGCCUAUUCUUUAUUGAAUGAAGAAGAAAACAAGGUAGAAUCCAAAAUCAAAAUUCUUUGCAAUCUCCAUUGAAGAAUUUGUAUUCACAACAACGAGUUCCAUAUCCUUAUUCCUCUCUCUAUAUACUCUCACCAAUACUAAAUCAGUUUGACCAAAGAAAUUCGAGUUUGGAAUUGUUGCGAUGGCAGAAGCUGUUGUGUCGACUGCUCUGGAAACCUUGCGCGAUUUGUUGGUGGAAGAAGCAAGAUUUUUAUCUGGUGUGGGUGACCAAGUGAAGGAGCUCGAGAUCCAGCUCAAAGAGAUCAAGUGUCUUCUCAAAGAUGCCGACAGACGACGACAUGAAAAUGAAACCAUUUUCAAUUGGAUCUCAGAGAUCAAAGAUCUUGUGUACAGAGCCGAAGCUGCCAUUGAAAGACACGCAGCUUAUCAAGUGACUUCAAGGAGAAAACGAGGCCUCAAACAGCUCCUCCGCAUAUGUAGUUGUAGUUAUGAAGAAUACAAGUCGAUCCACCAAUUAGGCUCCGAGAUUUCACCGAUCAAAUCCCGACUUGAAAGGAUAAACAAAGAAAUGUUAGAAAGUGGCAUAAAAAGAGCAUCAUCAACAAUACAGAUGAAGNGGAAAGCUCGUCCGCCAACAACAGGGCAAGGAAGAGCUUCCCCGAAUUCGAGAUCGGAGACUGUUUUGUGGGGAUGAAGGACGAGCUCAAGCAGCUUCUUCAUCUCCUAGUGGAAGACGAAAAGCAUCGAGUAAUUUCAGUGUGGGGAAUGGGGGGAUCAGGCAAGACCACCAUUGCCAAAAAGCUCUACAACGAGAACAGCACCAGGUUUGAUCUUUCCGCAUGGGUUUGCAUUAGUCAGCAAUGUCAGAGUUUUCAAUCAGUUUGGAAUGAUGUUCUCAUGCAGCUACAGCAUCAAAACACGAAGGAUGGGCCAAAAAUAAGGGAGGAUGUUACAAGUUUGAGCGAGUGGGAGUUGAAGGAGCGACUAUGCAAGAUACAAAGAGAGAAGCGAUGUCUCAUUGUUUUUGACGAUCUUUGGAAAGUUUCUGAUUGGGAUGGCUUCAAGCAUCCCUUCCUUGUCCAAGAUUUGCAGAGCAAAAUCUUGAUCACCACGCGCGAACGGGAAGUUGCAGAGAUUGGAUGCCCUGUGAAACUUGGGUUUCUAAAAGAGGAAGAUGCUUUGGAACUACUCAAGAAGAAAGCAUUUCCCCACACCAACAUUCCAGGUUAGUAGGAUUUGACUUCUAGUCUACAAAUAAUAUUCUAGAUUUACAUGUUGGUUAGUUUCUACUCUUGCAUCAUCGAUUCCAAAUCAGAUGAGAGGAUCUGAUUAAGUUAUAAAGUUACUAUACAAUUAAACGUCGUUUGUUUAUUCAAUGCAGAGUUUGCAUUGGAAGAUAAUUUUAAGAAAAUUGGGAAAGAAAUGGUGCAAAAAUGUGGGUAUUUGCCGUUGGCAAUUUCUUUACUUCGGCGGGGUCUUGAGAAUGAAAAAUUCGAGAAGGAGUGGGAGUUAGUAAAUGAGGAUAUCAAAGAAUUCAUAUAUAGAGUGAAAGUGAGAUUGAUGGGUGCUAAAUUUAAGCUAUGAAAGUCUACCCUAUUAUUUGAAGUCUUGCUUUCUCUAUAUGGGUAUAUUUCAAGAGGAUGAAGAUAUAGAUGUUGACGAUCUAUAUUGAUGUGGAAGCACAAGGCAUGAUUUCAUAUGAGUAUUGGAGAAAGGACAAAACUUUAGAAAUGCGAGCUCUACUUGGGUGAGUUGGCCUCCAGGUCCAUGUCCAAGUCGAAAUUUACGAUGGUGUCACACCGGGAAGAAAAUACAAGACAUGCAAACUUCAUGAUGUAGUAAGAGAACUAUGUUUGAAAUUGGGGAGAAGUGAGGAUUUUGGUGUGCAGAGUUUGGAGUAUCAAAGUGGGAAACUACGGCUAGCUUCCUCCAGGAAAAUACGGCAUUUGGCUAUACAUUUCAGGAAGAAGUUCAAGUGGAACUGACAGCUUACAUCACUUGGGGAGAAGAUAGUAGCGAACAUUUAAGGUCCUUCAAAUGUUCAAUCACAUAAAUUCGGGUGUUGUGUUGAGUAUCCCCGCAAGGUAUGUUGAUUUUCAGAAAUUCAAAUUGCUAGAGAUCUAGUUAUGUGGGUUCAAAUUUGAAGGAAGAAAGUUAUCGAAGGAAUCACUAGUCUUGUUCACCUUAGACGUUUGUAUUUAAAAAGAUGUGAUUUUGAUAAGCUACCAUCGUCCAUAAGGAAUUUGGUAUAAUGGAUAUCCUUGAUUUAACUGAUUCGAUGAAUGUUGAAGUUCCAAAUGUUUUUAAGGAGAUGCUACGUUUAAAACACUUGUUUCUUCCCAAUUAUGAUGAGGAAAAUAUUGAAGUUAUCGAUUAACAUGGACGAGGAGUGUUGAGUUGGAGACUCUGGUGGAGUUGGAUAGUAGAGUGCAUGAAUUAAAAUGUAUGAAUAGAAUGAAGAAUCUACGAUUUUUCUCAAUAAUUAUGCAUGACAAUGAAAGCUUGUCAGCCAUGAUCGAUGCCAUUGCUAUCACGGACAAGUUAGUGUUUUGUCGGGUUGUAAUCGAACGGGGUUGCGAGUUAGGAACAAAUGAGAGAGUAUUGAACAAGGCACUCACAUGUCCCAAUCUUCAUGAGUUGAGGAUAAAUGUUAAGUUAAGGAAUGUGCUAUCUAAGUGCGGGAGUACUGACUUCAUGGGUUCGAAACUUGUGAGUUUGAGGCUGUAUAAAUGUGAGAUUGAGGAUGAUCCAAUGGGGAUAUUGGGGAAGCUUCCUUGCUUGGUAGAAUUGUGUUUAUGGACGAAAUCAUUUGUGGGGGAGGAGAUGACAUGUCCAUCAAACAGUUUCCCUCGCCUCAAGAGGCUUGACCUAACACAGUUACCAAAGUUGAGGGAGUGGAGAGUGGAGGCAGGAGCCAUGCCCCUUCUCUCUCAUUUAGAGAUAGAUGAGUGUUUAAGUUUGAAGAUGCUUCCAGA
rnacentral:lncRNA from 1 species